CGGCGCUGCCCCAGUGUAUCCGUACGUUCCUUCUUCGCGAGCCACCGGGCGGCGCCGCCCGUCCACCCCGACCGGACCGACUCUCCUGCGGCAGGUAGUGGCUACAGGAUUGGACCCAGAAUGGCUGAGGUGGGGUCUAUCUUCACGGACAGACUGUCAUCAGACACCAUCAGAACACAUGGUCGGGCUCUCAUUUGGCCCUUUUCAGCAAGCUUGAGAACUCUCAUUCCCUUUUCUAUGCAAGGUUGAUGUGUCGGCGAUGCUGGUGGCAAGUUUCUGAAGUCCAGAAAAAAACGUUCCUGCUGGCGCAAGAUCAAAUGGAAGUGGAACUAGUUGAUCCGAACCUCGUAGCUGGGACCUGGGAGAUGCAGAGGCUCCUAGCAUUGGAAACUAUACCUCAUGCGAUGAUGCGAAACAAACCUGUCAGCAGACUUGGCCCUUUGCACUAGCAGAGCCGUUUCACUUUUUUUUAAAUAAAAAGAGCCAUUUCAUCUUUU